UAGCUCACUACUGCCCUGAAGCCCUUAGCUAAGGUCAAGGGAUACUCUCGCCUUCGACUUCUGAGUAGCCAGGACUACAUGUACACACCACACCUGACGUGAAAAGUGAAGUGUAAGGAAGUUGAAUACGUUCCCAGGAUCACGCGACUCAUAGUGAGACCUCUUCAGAACAUGAUGGAUCAAAUGCAGGAUGAGUGCAGAUAUAACAAAAAAGGUUUUAGAAACCUCCUAGUACUAUU